rnacentral:tRNA from 1 species
GGGGGCUUAGUUCAAUAGUAGAACGAUUGGUUUGCAACCAGUAGACGACGGGGCGGAACCGUCAGCUUCCACCA